UCCUGGCCGUAAACGAUGUCCACUAGGUUGGGGAUCUUUUGACGGAGCCCCGGCCGAAGCAAAAGCGUUAAGUGGACCGCCUGGGGAGUACGGUCGCAAGGCUAAAACUCAAAGGAAUUGACGGGGGCUCACACAAGCGGUGGAGCAUGUUGCUCAAUUCGAUGCAACGCGAAGAACCUUAUCCUGGGCUUGAAACGCACGGAUGCGGCCCCUGAAAGGGGUGUCCGCUGCCCUUCGGGGUGAAACGUGUACAGGUGCUGCAUGGCUGUCGUCAGCUCGUGUCGUGAGAUGUUGGGUUAAGUCCCGUAACGAGCGAAACCCUUGUCGCUAGUUGCCAGCGGGUCAUGCCGGGGACUCUAGCGAGACCGCCGG
rnacentral:rRNA from 1 species